GUAUUAAAUUUUGACCAACAAAGGUCAUAAUAUCUCAGACAUUCUAGUAAACUUGUGUGUGUAAAAAUAACAUAGACACAGAUUAUUACAUCUGGUCUACAAUGAGUUCACAGGUGAGAUGAAAAGGCGGAGUGCACAUGCCUAAGAAGGCCAGCAACAUCCUAAGGAUUUCAAUAAUGAUCCUUCCGCAGGUUCACCUACGGAAA
rnacentral:misc_RNA from 1 species